CAGGUAGUAGUUUAUUUAAAAUAUUAAUUUUGGAGAUUAAAGAUAGAGUUACUCUUUUCCUGA
rnacentral:tRNA from 2 species